rnacentral:rRNA from 1 species
AUUGAACGCUGGCGGCAGGCUUAACACAUGCAAGUCGAACGGUAACAGGGAGAAACUUGUUUCUCUGCUGACGAGUGGCGGACGGGUGAGUAAUGCUUGGGAAUCUGCCUUAUGGAGGGGGAUAACCACUGGAAACGGUGGCUAAUACCGCGUAAUAUCUUCGGAUUAAAGUGUGGGUCUUUCGAGCCACACGCCAUAAGAUGAGCCCAAGUGAGAUUAGGUUGUUGGUGAGGUAAUGGCUCACCAAGCUUACGAUCUCUAGCUGGUUUGAGAGGAUGACCAGCCACACUGGGACUGAGACACGGCCCAGACUCCUACGGGAGGCAGCAGUGGGGAAUAUUGCACAAUGGGCGCAAGCCUGAUGCAGCCAUGCCGCGUGAAUGAAGAAGGCCUUAGGGUUGUAAAGUUCUUUCAUUAGUGAGAAAGCGGUUAUAUCUAAUAGGUGUAACCAUUGAUGUUAGCUAAAGAAGAAGCACCGGCUAACUCCGUGCCAGCAGCCGCGGUAAUACGGAGGGUGCGAGCGUUAAUCGGAAUGACUGGGCGUAAAGGGCACGCAGGCGGUUAUUUAAGUCAGAUGUGAAAGCCCCGAGCUUAACUUGGGAAUUGCAUUUGAUACUGGGUAACUAGAGUCCUCUAGGGAGGGGUAGAAUUCCAUGUGUAGCGGUGAAAUGCGUAGAGAUGUGGAGGAAUACCGAAGCGAAGGCAGCCCCUUGGAGAGAGACUGACGCUCAUGUGCGAAAGCGUGGGUAGCAAACAGG